rnacentral:rRNA from 1 species
CAGUCGCCGCGGGAAUACGUAGGGUGCGAGCGUUAAUCGGAAUUACUGGGCGUAAAGCGUGCGCAGGCGGUUCGUUAAGACAGAUGUGAAAUCCCCGGGCUUAACCUGGGAGCUGCAUUUGUGACUGGCGAGCUAGAGUAUGGCAGAGGGGGGUAGAAUUCCACGUGUAGCAGUGAAAUGCGUAGAGAUGUGGAGGAAUACCGAUGGCGAAGGCAGCCCCCUGGGCCAAUACCGACGCUCAUGCACGAAAGCGUGGGGAGCAAACAGGAUUAGAUACCCGCGUAGUCCCUGUCUCUUAUAC